rnacentral:siRNA from 1 species
GUCGCUUUGGCCGAGUGGU